rnacentral:lncRNA from 1 species
CAGAGCAAGACUCUGUCUCAAAAAAACAACAACAAGGCCAAAUGUCACCCCAUGAUCUUAACAAGGGAACAGUCAGAAUCCAAAUCCUAAGCACACAAAGCUACUUUCUUAAGGGCAAUGGGAGAGGGAAAUUGUGAUGGCCCCAAGCUAGAACCUAAAUUACACCUUUACUUUAGAACUGAGUAUAGAAGGAUACAUAUCCUAGGGCACAGAUGGGACACCUCUGUCGAUGCUAGAAGAAUUCUAUGUGUGUUUGGAGGUGGCAUAGCAUACCUGUUAGAAAGGCUUUGCUAUUUACUACUGUGGGACCACAAGCAAGUUAUCUCUUUUCUGAACCUCAGUUUCCUCAACUAUAAAAAAGAGAUACGGAUGCUUAGCUAAUAUUGCUGGAAUUGAAUGCAGAAAUGAAAGAAAGCUUUUAGCACAGGGCUUUACCCUAACAGGCACUUACUGUUAAGAGUGGUUUAUUACCAGGUAGGUAACUAAGCAAGGAAGAUGUGUGUUAAUCAAUUUGGCAUGAGAUUUAAAAUUUUAUUACCCAACACAUUAUUUUCACUAAAGUAUCCUUGGUUAAAACUCAGUUAAUACUAGCAUUUAAUAAGAUAACUCAAAUUUCUCCAAAAAAAUGGACAAAUUGGAUGUCUUCAAUUCACUUGACUUACAAAAUGGUUUUAAUAUGAGAAUUGUCUAGUCAUAAGUUGUCACUCAAGAACAAAAAUUAUCUGUUCUGGCACUAACUGGCAUGUGAUUCUGGUGAGGCACAUCAUGACUCUGGGUCUCCUCUACAAGGAGGGGGUUGUGGGAGUGCCCUGGUUCCUUCCAUCUUGAACAUUCGUGAUUCCAAAGUAGCACUCCAGCAUAGCCCUGAUUUACUUCUAGUUCCUUUCCUUUUCAGGACAUUGACAUAAAGUAGAACUUGCUUCCAAUACGUCUUAAAGGUUAAAUGUUACACACAGCGUACAGUCAAUGCAAGGAGGCCUGCACACAGGGAACUUCUGUCUAGGACUGCGGCCGGUAAGACCUUCCUGUGUGGACCACAGCACUGCUCAGGAAAGCUGCCUGCAGGAGCUGUGAAGUUGCAGAAUUUUGGUUUAUUGGGAUGCAUCCUGGUGCUUGCCUACAGAUCUUGUUUUGCAAAGUGCAGAGGCAAUACAUGGAGAUGCAGCAGCCAUCUUGUGACCAUGAGGACAAAGAUCAUUUACCAAGGAUGACAGAAGAGAAAGUUAGCAAGAGCCUUGACCCCUGAUGAGGUGAAGUCAUUUCACCAGCCUAUCACAGCUUCUAGUCUUCUUGGGAAUAUGUUGCAAAUUCAUCCCACCUCCUGCUGCAGCUAUGAUACUCAGAGAAACGUUGGGACGAGGCCUGCAGAGGAUGUGUUCUGGGUAUUUGGUGGCCCUGCUGGUGAGCACUGGUGUUCCUUGAGGUCAACCUGUGCUGAGGACAGGAAUAUUUCACCCAAGUACAUAACUAAGAGAAGAUCACUCCCAGAAGAUUUCAUCCCCAAAAGCAAGAAGGUGAAGGACACUUGUACCCAGACAGUGAGAUCCACUGCCUCCUUGCCAUGCUUUUAGCUCCCCCCACAGCUGAGCCCUCCUGACCAGAAAACCUGACGGGGCCACCUUCUUCAUCCCUCAGUCUCACAGAGGUCCCAUAAAACUGAACCAGGCUUGGUGCUGACAGUGGGCCAGGGCAAUGUAGGCUCACUGGAGCUGGGUGAGAGUGUGACAGGGAGCGUCAAAGUCAAAAUAAAAAUAUAAAGACAAAUCUCUAAA